GUGCUCGCUUCGGCAGCACAUAUACUAAAAUUGGAACGAUACAGAGAAGAUUAGCAUGGCCCCUGCGCAAGGAAAGGAAUUCGAGGCAUAAAAGAAUAGAGUUAA